UUUGUGUUCUUCCCCUUAUCAGCCCUUCUCCCUCAACCCCGCUAUUCGAAAAGCUCUUUUUCAGCUUUGUAGAUUUUAGAACAUUACUAACAUCAUCCAGUGAGAUUCCGUCUUUCGUAUAUAACAAUAUAUCAAUAAAAGUAUUGUAAGACGGUGGUAAAGAACAUAUCAUAAUCAAGGCUUGAUCCUCACUAUAAAUAUUGAUAUCCUAGUUAUUUAAGUCUGCUAUAAUUGAAUUAAACUCAUCCAGGUUAGUUUUAACUGGUGUACCUUCAUUUAUAUGAAUAUUAUACAACCUGUUUUCCAAGUAGAGGUGGUUUUCAAGCAAUUUCUUAGAUUACAGAUCUUCCAACUUCUUUCAUGUCUUUGUUAUAGAUUCCUCUUUAGUAAUUUCCCAAAGAACAUUAUCUAUAAUGCUCAUGAAUAUUAGGCUCAAAGCCCUCUUCUUAUCUAUGAUUCUUUCAACUUUUCUAGAAAAGCUUUCUUAAUUGCCUUCCAUAAUCCUUGUAAUAGAUACUUUCAACUUUUCUAGAAAAGCUUUCUUAAUUGCCUUCCAUAAUCCUUGUAGUACCAGGACGACCUUAUUCUAAUUAUCCAUAGAUUGAUACUAGAUCCCUAUAAAAUUUCUCUAUUUCAUGCUUUAUUAAAGAUGAUGGAGACAUCUUAACCAUUAAUUAUUUGUAGAAACCCCAGUCUGACUCAGAUACCAAUUAUUGUGAACAUAUCAUGAAUUUUCUUAAUCAACUUUGGACCUGGCCCAUUUUAUUAAUAAAAUAAUAAAGUUUGUAGAAAAUGACUCAAGUAAGCCCAUGAAUUAAAAGGCAAAAAAUAAAAAUAAAAAAGAAAGCUAAAGGGUGGAGACCCGAUCUGCCAAUGGGCCUUGGAAAACCAUCAAAAUUCCCUGAACUAGGGUUUCCUAAUUGUGACUUCCCUAACAUCAUCCUCAAAUGACGCUGCUAGAAGAUCUCUUCAAUGUCGGAUUCCUUAUGCUCUUAUUUUGGAUAAGUAAUCUUGUCGGAGAUAAAGCAAGUGGCGAGCUCUUUAUAUUCAACUCCCACAGGUAAAUCAGUGGAGGAAAUAAACAAGAUGCCCUAGAGCUCUUUCUCUUGAUACUCUUCACCUGCGACUGCAUACAAUUGUCCAUUUGACUCCAUAGCCUUUACUUUUUUGACGGUGACUCUUUUUGAAAGCUAACAUAACUUAGGGUAAGUAGCUUACUACUCACAGUUAUGUAGCCCUUUGAUUGGCAAAAACUAUUGUAAAUAUCAUAGCUGUGAGACCUUGAUGUGUUUAUCUUGUGGUUAAUCAUAUUGAAUGUUGUUUUUCUUCC